rnacentral:rRNA from 1 species
CCGCGUGUGUGAAGAAGGCCUUCGGGUUGUAAAGCACUUUCAGUUGUGAGGAAAAGUUAGUAGUUAAUACCUGCUAGCCGUGACGUUAACAACAGAAGAAGCACCGGCUAACUCCGUGCCAGCAGCCGCGGUAAUACGGAGGGUGCGAGCGUUAAUCGGAAUUACUGGGCGUAAAGCGCACGCAGGCGGUUUGUUAAGCUAGAUGUGAAAGCCCCGGGCUCAACCUGGGAUGGUCAUUUAGAACUGGCAGACUAGAGUCUUGGAGAGGGGAGUGGAAUUCCAGGUGUAGCGGUGAAAUGCGUAGAUAUCUGGAGGAACAUCAGUGGCGAAGGCGACUCCCUGGCCAAAGACUGACGCUCAUGUGCGAAAGUGUGGGUAGCGAACAGGAUUAGAUACCCUGGUAGUCCACACCGUAAACGCUGUCUACUAGCUGUGUGUGCCUUUAAGGCGUGAGUAGCGAACCUAACGCGCUAAGUAGACCGCCUGGGGAGUACGG